rnacentral:pre_miRNA from 1 species
UGUGUACUCCCUCCGUUCCAAAAUACUUGACUUCCAUUUGUCCAAAAAUGGAUAUACCUAUAUACUAAAACAUGUCUAGGUACAUAUAUAUUUUGACAAAUAGAAGGCAUGUAUUGUGCAACGGAGGGAGUAGAAU